AGUGAACGCUGGCGGUAGGCCUAACACAUGCAAGUCGAACGGCAGCACAGUAAGAGCUUGCUCUUACGGGUGGCGAGUGGCGGACGGGUGAGGCAUACAUCGGAAUCUACUUUUUCGUGGGGGAUAACGUAGGGAAACUUACGCUAAUACCGCAUACUACCUACGGGUGAAAUCAGGGGAUCUUCGGACCUUGCGCGAUUGAAUGAGCCGAUGUCGGAUUAGCUAGUUGGCGGGGUAAAGGCCCACCAAGGCGACGAUCCGUAGCUGGUCUGAGAGGAUGAUAAGCCACACUGGAACUGAGACACGGUCCAGACUCCUACGGGAGGCAGCAGUGGGGAAUAUUGGACAAUGGGCGCAAGCCUGAUCCAGCCAUACCGCGUGGGUGAAGAAGGCCUUCGGGUUGUAAAACCCUUUUGUUGGGAAAGAAAAGCAGCAGGUUAAUACCCCGCUGUUCUGACGGUACCCAAAGAAUAAGCACCGGCUAACUUCGUG
rnacentral:rRNA from 1 species